rnacentral:ribozyme from 13 species
AGAGAAGGAAGAAGAGAAGGAUGGAGAGGAGGGUUGUGCGUUUUCUGGGAGGAGGAGUGAUCUUGAUUGUCUGAAAUGCCCCAUUUUUGUUUUCUCUUUUCUUUUUCUCUUUUCUUUUUCUCUUUU